rnacentral:misc_RNA from 1 species
UCAUUUAGAGGAAGGAGAAGUCGUAACAAGGUUUCCGUAGGUGAACCUGCGGAAGGAUCAUUGUCGAUGCCCCUCAAACAGAACGACCCGCGAACCGUGUGCCCAUCAUUGCGGAGGCGUGGGCGCCAGCCGCCCACGGUUCCCGCGUCGGCGAGAGUUCCCGCGGACCUGUUCCGCCCGUCCCUCGUCGACGCAACAACUAACCCCGGCGCCCUGCGCCAAGGAAUUUUGAAAACCAAGCGUGCCCCUCGUCCGGCCGGAAACGGUGCUGGCAAGGGAGCACCGCGACAUGUUAUACAGAACGACUCUCGGCAACGGAUAUCUCGGCUCUCGCAUCGAUGAAGAACGUAGCGAAAUGCGAUACUUGGUGUGAAUUGCAGAAUCCCGUGAACCAUCGAGUCUUUGAACGCAAGUUGCGCCCGAAGCCAUUAGGCCGAGGGCACGUCUGCCUGGGUGUCACACAACGUUGCCCCUCCUCCCUCGUCCCUCGCAGGAGGGAUUUGUGGGACGGGGCGGAUCAUGGCCUCCCGUUAGCACGGUCUUGCGGUUGGUUGAAAAAAGAGAAGCCCUCGGGUGGCGACCGCCACGUUCCUCGGUGGAUGAGCAUGCCUCGAUGCCGGUCGUGUGCGCGUCGUCCCCCUGCUCGGGCUCCGAGGCCCUGUCGCGUUGCCUCGUGCGAUUGCGAAACCAACGCGACCCCAGGUCAGGCGGGGCUACCCGCUGAGUUUAAGCAUA